UACGAGGGAUGCAAGCGUUAUCCGGAAUUAUUGGGCGUAAAGCGUUUGUAGGCGGGCGAGUGUGUUUAAUGUUAAAUCUUAAAGCUCAACUUUGAAAUUGCGUUAAAAACUGCUUGUCUUGAGUAUGGUAGGGGUAAAGGGAAUUCCCAGUGUAGCGGUGAAAUGCGUAGAUAUUGGGAAGAACACUAAACAGCGAAGGCACUUUACUAGGCUAAUACUGACGCUGAGAAACGAAAGGUAAGGUAGCGAAACGGAUUAGAUACCCGUGUAGUCUUACCCGUAAACUAUGGACACUAAACGGUAAAUUUUUAAUUUACUGUUAAAGCUAACGCGUUAAGUGUCCCGCCUGGGGAGUAUGCUUGCAAAAGUGAAACUCAAAGGAAUUGACGGGGGCCCGCACAAGCGGUGGAGCAUGUGGUUUAAUUCGACGGUACACGAAGAACCUUACCAGGAUUUGACAUGCUAGAUAGUUGCUUGAAAGAGUAACGUGCCGUAAGGAAUCUAGACACAGGUGGUGCAUGGCUGUCGUCAGUUCGUGUUGUGAAAUGUUGGGUUAAGUCCCGCAACGAACGCAACCCUUGUCUUUAGUUAUUUUCUAAAGAGACUGCCUGUAAUAAACAGGAGGAAGGUAAGGAUGAGGUCAAGUCAUCAUGCCCCUUAUGUCCUGGGCUACACACGUGCUACAAUGGGAAAGACAAUGAGCUGCAAAUCUGUAAAUUUAAGCAAAUCUCUUAAACUUUCUCGUAGUUCGGAUUGUGGGCUGCAACUCGCCCACAUGAAGUUGGAAUCGCUAGUAAUCGCCCAGUCAGCU
rnacentral:rRNA from 1 species